ensembl:snRNA U6 U6 spliceosomal RNA
GUGCUCACUUCGGCAGAACAUAUACUAAAAUUGGAAUGAUACAGAGAAGAUUAGCAUGGC